UACGAAGGGGACUAGCGUUGUUCGGAAUCACUGGGCGUAAAGCGCACGUAGGCGGAUGUGUCAGUCAGGGGUGAAAUCCCGGGGCUCAACCUCGGAACUGCCUUUGAUACAGCACGUCUCGAGUCCGGAAGAGGUGGGUGGAAUUCCUGGUGUAGCGGUGAAAUGCGCAGAUAUCAGGAAGAACACCCGUGGCUAAGGCGGUUCUCUAGUACGGUACUGACGCUGAGACGCGAAAGCGUGGGGAGCGAACAGG
rnacentral:rRNA from 1 species